UACGUAGGGGGCGAGCGUUGCCCGAAUUUACAGGGCGUAAAGCGCACGUAGGCGGCUUCGUAAGUCUGGUGUGAAAUCUCACGGCUCAACCGAGAGGCUGCACCCGAUACAGCGAAGCUCGAGGACGGGAGAGGAGAUUGGAAUUCCCGGUGUAGCGGUGAAAUGCAUUGAUAUCGGGAGGAGCACCAGUGGCGAAGGCGGAUCUCUGGUCCGUUGCUGGCGCUGUGGUGCGAAAGCUGGGUGAGCGUAUGGG
rnacentral:rRNA from 1 species